UGCAGCAAGUUCCUUUUGCUCUCAAGUCUGUUAUUACUGAAGAAGCAUUUCGUCGUAGGUGAGGAAACAGGCGCAGGAAGGCUAACAACUUAUCCAAGUUCCCAUGGCUGCCCAGGGUUGUGUUUUCUCCUCUCAACCGUGUGUUCUCCGUGAGGCACCAAUCCCAGCUCCAGCCCUGGAACUCAGGAUCUCCACUUGGCCAAUCAAAUCAUCAAAUCCUUUGUCCCAUCCGCAGCAUAGGGAAAGGGAAAACCGCAGAGAUUUCUUUAAGGAUGGGCCACAUGACCCAGCUGUAGCCAAUGAACUACAUCUGAGGCUUUUCUGGGAUUGGCUGGAG